rnacentral:rRNA from 1 species
GAACCAUUGGAGGGAUCAUUA